rnacentral:rRNA from 1 species
GAGCGGAUGAAGGGAGCUUGCUCCUGGAUUCAGCGGCGGACGGGUGAGUAAUGCCUAGGAAUCUGCCUGGUAGUAGGGGAUAACGUCCGGAAACGGGCGCUAAUACCGCAUACGUCCUGAGGGAGAAAGUGGGGGAUCUUCGGACCUCACGCUAUCAGAUGAGCCUAGGUCGGAUUAGCUAGUUGGUGGGGUAAAGGCCUACCAAGGCGACGAUCCGUAACUGGUCUGAGAGGAUGAUCAGUCACACUGGAACUGAGACACGGUCCAGACUCCUACGGGAGGCAGCAGUGGGGAAUAUUGGACAAUGGGCGAAAGCCUGAUCCAGCCAUGCCGCGUGUGUGAAGAAGGUCUUCGGAUUGUAAAGCACUUUAAGUUGGGAGGAAGGGCAGUAAGUUAAUACCUUGCUGUUUUGACGUUACCAACAGAAUAAGCACCGGCUAACUUCGUGCCAGCAGCCGCGGUAAUACGAAGGGUGCAAGCGUUAAUCGGAAUUACUGGGCGUAAAGCGCGCGUAGGUGGUUCAGCAAGUUGGAUGUGAAAUCCCCGGGCUCAACCUGGGAACUGCAUCCAAAACUACUGAGCUAGAGUACGGUAGAGGGUGGUGGAAUUUCCUGUGUAGCGGUGAAAUGCGUAGAUAUAGGAAGGAACACCAGUGGCGAAGGCGACCACCU